rnacentral:lncRNA from 1 species
UGCCACCUGAAAAUUGUGUAAAACUUGAAGCAGUACAAGGCUAGAAAUAUUAUCAUCUAUCCAACUGGAAGAAUAACAUUUCCAUUAUUUUCUUCAAUGAAUUAACACAGGGCCUGUCAGAUAUUAAGUAUUGUAUAAAUUAUCAGUCAUUGAUUGGUUGAUUGAUACAGCUUCUAAAAGUGACUAUCUUCUAAGCAGAAAAUCUUUCCAGAGUUGAGAU